rnacentral:rRNA from 1 species
GACGAACGCUGGCGGCGUGCUUAACACAUGCAAGUCGAACGGAAAGGCCCUGCUUUUGUGGGGUGCUCGAGUGGCGAACGGGUGAGUAACACGUGAGUAACCUGCCCUUGACUUUGGGAUAACUUCAGGAAACUGGGGCUAAUACCGGAUAGGAGCUCCUGCUGCAUGGUGGGGGUUGGAAAGUUUCGGCGGUUGGGGAUGGACUCGCGGCUUAUCAGCUUGUUGGUGGGGUAGUGGCUUACCAAGGCUUGGACGGGUAGCCGGCCUGAGAGGGUGACCGGCACAUUGGGACUGAGAGACGGCCCAGACGGCUACGGGAGGCAGCAGUGGGGAAUAUGGCACAAUGGGCGGAAGCGUGAUGAAGAAACGCCGCGUGCGGGAUGAAGGCCUUCGGGGUGUAAACCGCUUUAGCCUGUGACGAAGCGGGAGUGACGGUAAUGGGUAAAGAAGCACCGGCUAACUACGUG